AGGCAAAGCUAGGCUAGGUCUUGGAGGCUGGUGUGAAGCGCGCGGGUAAGGCUGGAAGACACCGGUGGAAGAAAAGCCGAAAUGGAUUCUCCGUGCCUUGGAUGGAGGAAGAGGGGAAGUGCGAGCUCCUUCAACUCGUUCGGUCCGGUGAGGAGUGAUCCAGCUUGGGCUGACAAGAGUCUCCGGGAGCCCUCUCGUUCAGUGCUUUUUUUACCUGCCAAUCAAACUGCUCCAAGACAACACCCUGAUCUGGCAUGGACCC
ensembl:misc_RNA